rnacentral:rRNA from 1 species
UAAGUGUUCACACGACUCAUGAGUUGCCGUCCUCAGAGGUGUGACCGCCUCACUUGGACUGGAACCGGUUCAUUCUCCGGAGGGAGCAGUUGGGAAAUUUCCAAUGAGGAUCUGAUGCAGACACGCGGGUGAAGGAAGAAGUCUUCGAUUCGUAACUCGUCAAAAGAAGAAGAAGUGACGUACUUUGAGGAGCCGCUACUACGUGCAGCAGCGCGUAUACGUAGGGGCAGCGUAUCUGAUAUGGCGUAAAGAGUGCGUAGUGUCACUAGCGCAGGGUUUAAGGCAAUGGCUCAACCAUUGUAUGCCUGCGACUGGCGACUUGAGUGCAGGAGAGGAAAGUGGAAUUCCUAGUGUAGCGGUGAAAUGCGUAGAUAUAGGAGGAACACCGGUGGCGAAGGCGACUUUCUGGACUGAAACUGACACUGAGGCACGAAAGCGUGGGGAGCAAACAGGAUUAGAUACCCUGGUAGUCACGCGUAAACGAUGAGCACCAGGUGUCGGGGUCGCAAGACCUCGGUGCCGCAGUUAACGCAUUAAGUGCUCCGCGUGGGGAGUACGUUCGCAAGAAUAAAACUCAAAGGAAUUGACGGGGACCCGCACAAGCAGCGGAGCAUGUGGUUUAAUUCGAAGCAACGCGAAGAACCUUACCAGGGCUUGACAUCCUUCUGCCGUACCCGCAAAAGGGUAUUUCCUACGGGACAGAAGAGACAGGUGGUGCAUGGUUGUCGUCAGCUCGUGUCGUGAGAUGUUGGGUUAAGUCCCGCAACGAGCGCAACCCUUGCCUUUAGUUGCCAUCAUUAAGUUGGGCACUCUAGAGGGACUGCCGGGGACAACUCGGAGGAAGGUGGGGAUGACGUCAAAUCAUCAUGCCCCUUAUGUUCUGGGCUACACACGUGCUACAAUGGCCGGUACAACAGGCAGCGAAGGAGCGAUCCGGAGCGAAUCCCAAAAGCCGGUCUCAGUUCGGACUGCAGGCUGCAACCCGCCUGCACGAAGUCGGAGUUGCUAGUAAUCGCGGAUCAGCACGCCGCGGUGAAUGCGUUCCCGGGUCUUGUACACACCGCCCGUCACACCAUGGAAGUUGGGGGUGCCCGAAGUCGGUUAACAAAUCUAUCGCCUAAGGCAAAACCAAUGACUGGGGUGAAGUCGUAACAAGGUAGCCGUAUCGGAAGGUGCGGCUGGAACACCUCCUUC